UCCAGUGAGUCAGCUCUUCCCAUCAGGUGGCCAAAGUACUGGAGUUUCAGCUUCAGCAUCAGUCCUUCCAAUGAACACCCAGGACUGACCUCCUUUAGGAUGGACUGGUUGCUUGUCCACAUGCAUAGACAGUUCUUAUUUCAUCUUCCUAUAAAAAGAGGAAGUUAGGCUUUCAGUCCAGAGAAUUUAUCUUUUCAUCGUUUUUGCUGUAAUAUUUUACUAAAAUGUUUUUAAAAACUUUUAGUGGAGUAUACUUGAUUUAUAAUGUUGUGUUAGUUUUUGCUGCACAGCAGAGUGACUCAGCCAUCCAUGAGCACAUAUCUACUCUUGUAGAGAUUCUUUUCCCAAACAGGUCAUUACAGAGCACUGAGAAGUGUCCCCUGCGCUGCAUGGUGGGUCCGUAUUAGUUGUAUAUUUUAUAUAGAGAGAUGUAUAUAUGUCAGCCCCAAUCCUCCAGUUUAUUCCUCCCCCUACUCCCUGCUCUGAUAACCAUUGGCUUGUUUUCUAUCUCUGUGACUCCUUUUCUGUUUUGUAAAUAAGUUCAUUUGUACCAUUUUUUUUAUAUUCCACAUACAAGUGACGCCUUAUUAUGAUUGUCUUUGAGCUGCGUCACCGAGUGUGACCGCCUCUGGGCUCACCCACGUCGCUGCAGUGGCCUUAUUUCAUACUUUUUAUGGCUGAGUGACAUCCCGCUGCACAUGCGCACCACGUCUUCAUCUGUCUCCUCUGCUGACGGACGCUUGGGUUGCUUCCACAUCCUGGCUCUUGUGAACUGAGCUGCCGUGGUCAUCAGGGUGCACGCAUGGUUCCAAAUUAUGGUUUUCUCCAGAUAUAUGUCCAAGAGUGGGACUGCUGGAUCAUAUGGGAGCUCUACUUUUAGUUUCUUAAGGAACCCCACACUGUUCUCCAUAAUGAUUGUACCAAUUUAUAUUCCCACCAACAGUUUCUUUUAAAAGACACUUUCUGUAUUCAGAGCCCCUUUAGUUGCAUUCCUAUGUUUUCCUAAAUGCACUGCAGAUUUUUCGUUGUAUCUCCAGCAGAUUUUCAGUCUUUCCUAAUUCUACAUCUCUUCCAUGGAAUGUUUUCUCGUUUUUAGAGUUAUUCUAAAGUUAUUGCUUUCACCUAUCUGUUUAACUGUUUAGGUAAAUUUCUAUGUUACCAUUACAAUGAAAAAACAGGUCUUUUAAGGAACAAUCAUAAAGUAAUUUAAAAUUUAUUUUGUCUUACAACUGGUGCAGCAAACCCACUCCAAGGGUUGGUUCUCUUCUGUCCCCAGAUAAAAUUGGAGAAAUGUACCAUUAGCCUUUCUGGUCAUAGCUAGAAAAUAUUUAAUCUGUAGAGUAGCCUCAAUGCAAACACCUGGAUUUCUAGUCAAAACUCCGAAUUGUAUUCACACCUACAAUCUCUCCUUCUUCCAGCUCUGGCCUGUGGCCGAUGUGGGAAGGGGAAGGGGCGUGACAGGCUCCAUCACUCCCCCAGCCUGCUCUCCUCUGCCCUCAGCUCCUUGACAGGAGGGAGAGGGGAGAGGCAACGCGGCAGGGAGGCGGCGGGGGUCUUCCUUGACUGGCCUCGAUCAGUGGUGGACGUCCCACGCUGGCUUUGCCACAGAACGUUUCCUGGGUUUCCUGGAAGCCUCCCUUUGCUGGCAGUCUCUCACUGACCUUUCCUUUGAUGUGGGUGCAAGUUCGGCCCAAUCACCGGCUUCCUCUCACCGUCCCCGGAUAUCUUGUGGUGCAUUUCCAUCUUUGAAUGCACCAUCUUCCCCAAACACAGCCCAUUUGCCCUUUAACCACCUGGUAGGAAUCCUUUCCGACCAUAGAAAGAAGAAAGCUCGCUCAGGCGUGUCCAACUCUCCGACCCCACGGACUGGAGCCCAUCAGGCUCCUCCACGCAUGGGAUUCUCCAGGCAAGAGUACUGGAGUGGGGUGCCAUUGCCUUCUCCAGGGGAUCUUCCUGACUCAGGGAUUGAACCCCGGUCUCCCACAAUGCGGGCAGAUGCUUUGGCAUCUGAGCCACCAGGGAAUCAACCAUUCCCUAUCCUUAUUUUGAGAAAGUCAAAACUGGGUUUGGGCCGUAUGUGUGACAAGCCUCGCAGACAUAGUCUUGCGCAUCAUGUUGGAUGCAGUUCCCGCCUACUGUCUGAGAGCUUCGGCCUACACCAAGCCUGAGAUCCCUCCGAGUCUCCUGCAGACAGAUCGACGGCAGGCUGGCGGGCGGUGUGUGUGUGAGGGUAAGUGCUCCUCCGUCUGCAGGCUGGCGGGCGGUGUGCGUGUAACGGUGAGUGCGCGUGCGCUCUCCGCCUCCGCGUCUGCGGGACUCUGCCUCCUCUUCCACCUCCCUGCCUCCUUUUGUGGAGGCGUGCUAGAGCUCCUGUUUUGUGCUCUUUUCCAUUCUUUGACUCUGUCACUCUCCCCAGUUCAUUGUCUCUUUGGUGGCUAUUUCCUCACGUCCGAACCUGAAGAUUUUUAGUUGGUGUUCCCACUUUCUAGUCAACUCAGCGUCCUAUCGGAAAGGCGAGGACUCUAUUUCUUAGAAAAGUUUAGGAAGUUUCUUCCAUAGCCUGGGCUCUCUGUCCACAGAUUCUUAUUUGCGCAAGGGAGCUCUGUGUGCUCGUAAGAACAGGCGAGACCCUGUUGUGCGUUGGCCACAAAGGUGAAGACCCGAGCAUGGAAAAGAAUCAUGUUGUGAAUUCUAUUCGUUUGUAGUAUUUCAGCUUGUGUGUACUUAUUUUGUUCCACUUCUUGUAGUAGAAGGGCAAAUAAAAACAAACUUUAAAAAAUUACCUUGGUAAAACAACAAGUAUGGUUUUUUCAGAUAAAUAUUUAAAAGAAAAUAAUAGAAAUGGGUAAAAUGAUGUUAACGUAUAGAUAGGAAGCUGUUGAAAUCAGCACACUGUAUUUUAUUGUGAUCAGUGAUUUAUUUGGCCACAUGAUAAAGGCUAUAAAUGCUUUCCACUUUCCUCUGAAUCCUAAAAAGAAUGUUUCUUGUUCACAUUAGACUAAUAUUCUUUAGAAAACAAUUUGAAUUUAAGAAGCUAAAUAUUUAGAAAAAUUUUGGUUAGACUGCCUAUUAAAGAGGGUUUAUAUAUUCACCAUUAGUAAUUGCCAAUGAGGAAGCUCGGAACAGCUGCCGUCUAGAACUCUAAAAUGUCACUCCUUGUUCAAUGUGCGGCACAAGCGGCACAGCUCCACAGAAUGAAGCGCAAGUUUCUCUCCAGUCAGAGAGAAGAGCAAGCUCAAGAUUAGUUAUGCAUUAAACAGUCCAUUUGGGGAGGCUAAUUAGAGAGAGAAGACCUUGAAAUAGAAGUCAUCAGAAAAAGCUAGCAGAUGAGUCUUCUUGGAGACUUAAUUCGUCCUUUGUCACAAACAGGAACACCUGCGAAAAGUGCAGGUCGCCCUCAUCCCUAGUCGGGGUGUGAGGUUCACAAGGCUUGCUGAUCCUGAGGGAAAGAACCAUACUGGUUCAGGAGACUGUCUUUAGGGGCCCUGGAGCCUCUAAGUAUCAGGUUUCCAAAUGAGUAUAGAGCAGGUGUGAAGAAUUAAGUGCCAAAAAUAGACACGGGCACACAAGAAUUUGGAUUGUUCUGUUUUCCCCAGGACUUUAUUAGGACCAAGAAUGAGCAGAACAGACAGCAGUAAGAUAGUCACAUUUUUAACAGGAAACCCAAUAUAUGAAAAAAGUAUCUGAAUUCUAUCCUAUUUACAUAUACUUGGAUUAGUGUAAUUCUCACUCCAGCCAAAUAACAAUGCCUCUGGAAACUGGCCUCGUUUAACAUCGCGUUAUUUUUGGUAACAUUUUCAUCGAGAAUAAGAAAGAAGUAAUUCUGUAUAAGUUGUAUUCACUUUGGUAUCAGUAAUGUGCAUAUUUCUAGAAUAUUAGACAAUACAUUUAGACAAUACAUUUUCUUAACAAAUUUGUGUCACUAUCAGUAUCCAGAUUUCUCAAUAUUAUCUCAUAAAAGGGCAAACAAAAUGCUUUGGAGAAAAGUAUGUGUGAAUUGUCCAUUAUGAGUGCUGUCUACCUUAUUUAUUGACCACUUCAUGAAAUAUCUCUGGGAAGCCUGCUCUGGGUCUUCUUUGUAAGGAAUGGACAAAAGGCCCCUGGAGAGAAGACCACAAUCAUAAAAUCACAAAUUAAGACUUUUCCUCUUAGAGCGUCUGUUUUCUGAAGGGUUGGCAGCCCAGCCCUGAAACCAGAUAGACCGUAAGUUCAACACUUAAACUUGAUCAGUGUCAGAAACUCUCGGGUGAGCUAUGAAAAUCUAAGGCCUUGUAGAGAAACUAUUGUGAAAAAACUAGUUCUGUUCUUCACAUACAAAAUAACAAGACUGAGGAAGGUCAGUUCUGGUGAUUACAUAAUGAGGUUUAAUGAAAGGUCGAAGCUGCCCACUCCUCUGACUUGGGAUAGGCGGUGAUCAAAGGCCAAGAGGGUUGCUUUUAGGUCUUACUAUUCAGUGCUCUUUUACCCUUCAAGUAUUCCUCUUCAAGUAUUCCUCACCUUUUUAGAGGAGGUAUCUUGGUCCUCUUGACCUGGGUCAGUUACUGCAAGUAUACACACACAAAAAAAAUAUAUACAAAAAAAAAAAAUCUGCAAAUCUCUGCAGUCUAUAAUCUCAUGGAUGUGGACCACCUCAUUCAUAUUUAAUUCCCCCAAGAGGUGGUAUUCAAAACAUUUAACAAACCAAUAAGAUAGCUUCACAGAUGAUUCAAAGGGAACCCUCAAACAGACCCGGAAGUCCUUAGUUGGAGGAUUAUGGAGACGUGUGACGGGGGCCAUGGGGAACCUUGCAGACACUCGGGCAGUGAUUAUUUACCAACUUUCACUGAAAGCUUUUCAUAUUUUCUCAAUCAAUACAGCCGAGCCAGCAAGUGUUGCCUGGUUGGACGCCCUGCUCACGACCCCGGGAGGAAGAGACGAGCAUUUCCCUUUUAUAGUCGAGGACGCUGAGCUCAAGGAAGGGAAAAUCCUAAAAACUGAGAUUACAGAGACUCGGUGUGGGUGUCUGUUCAUUACCUGAAACAGCUACUUUUCCCGGUCUUCAUGGAUGCCUGGCGCAGGAGGAGACCCCGAGGAGGUGCCACCGAGACUGCGGAGCCCCUGCGCGCGCUGUGCUGAGAGCCAGUGCUCUUCCCUCCCGGCAGCCCUAGGGUGUCUGGGGUGCCUGGGACCUGGCUGCACAGCCGAGCACAGGAGAAGACAGGCCCUUGGGCGACUGCACGGAGAGCUGGGAUGUUCGAUGAGUGACCGACCUCUCUGUCCUCCUCGGGGGACGCCGGAAGCUGGGCCUUAUGGCCGUCACCGCCCAUGGAGCUACAGGGAUGAGCCGCACAGGUGCCUGCGCUGGUCAGGAUGCCUUUGGCCUGGGAAGCUCCAGGGGCCCGCGCGUGCCAGGCCCUCAGCCUGCUGAGGUGCCCAGGGGGCGAUCUGACUCUAGGGCAGCGCCCAGAAGGCUGGGACUCUGGGCUGCGCUAACUCCUUUGCCGCUUAGGAGCAGCCUGGAGCAGGGGGCCCUCCUGAUCGCAGGGUCCUGAGCCGGGAAGGGUAGCGGUAGGAGGGCGUUCUCUCUGUUUUUUGGUCUUGGCGUGAGUGGGUUUGCACUCGCUCAGGAUGUAGGAGCCGCUCAUUUAUUUUCCGGCUUGGAUCAGGGCCUCUCAUUUCACCCUCCUGGGGACAUCAGGGAGCCUCAGCCAGCUAACCUUUCCCUGCAACUCUCCAGAGCCCCACACUUACGGCCAACAAUAGGAACUGGAAUUUUAAGCUUUAUGUUCACUCCCCCAAUCCCAGCCCUGACGGUACACUGUACCUGCGAGUAUCAGAUUACACCAGGUGAUUUUCAUGGUCAAAGUGAUGGAUGGAAUUGCAGGAACAGAAUGAUUUCCAGUUAAUGGCGUGACGGAAGUAGUUCAUAGACUUCGCUGCGGCCUCCGGCGCUAAGUCCAGCUCACUCACCCACUUCAGCGACCCUGUAACUUCCUCAAAGGGAACGUUUGGACAGCAGAGGCGGCCAGCUCACUGCUCCUUCGAUAAGGGAGCCACUCCCUUGGCGUGCUCUUUGAGCAUAACAUGCUCACGGCACAUGUUAGGACUGAUUGCGUGUAGAAGAAAAAACCUUAAGGCAACUUAAGCAUGAAAUGAGACGCAGGCAAUGGAACUCGUAACUCAUGCCACUAAAAUGUUCGCGCAAAGCUGAGUCAGGGCAUCAGACCUCGUCACCAGUGCACAGCUCCUGUCUGCCCUCAUCUCUCAGCUUUGCUCUUCUGCGCUGACAACAUUCCUAGGAAGUCCUUUCCACACACUUGUCCCCAGCGGUUCCCACCUCGUGUUUUCCCGGGCCUUGAGCCUGCUGGCCUUUGCAUCAGAAGUGACAUCAUUGGUUCUUCUGGUUCUUCAAUGUGCCAGCUCACCCUGUAGACUUGAGACCUGUGAGUCUUCACAGUAACAUGAGCCGUGAUCCUCCUGGUCCCUCUCCAUGGGUGUGGACAGGUCGGGAGAGUCUACUGGGUCUGUUUCUUUGCAGAGUGCUGACCAGCAGAGCAGGAUAAACAGCAGAAACUCUUCCUUUCUUCUCCCUAAGCCUGUCUGUUUCAGGAGGUCUGUUCCGGAGCUCUUUCGUAUCCUCUCCUUGACGGCCUCCCUGAGUUUAUUCUUGGAGAACCAGGCAUCACCCACUUUAGAGUUUCACCGAGCACUGGAAUUGUAUUUCAGUUUGCUCGUUCUGUUUCCACAUUGGCUGCUUUAGUUUCCCUGCCUUUACUGGAGGAAAAGCUCUUUAUUUCUUGGGUCCCUGCUGUGUAUAAAAUACUGUGUCACAUGUUUUAUGGAAAAUGGAUAGGAAAUAUUUGUCUCUUUCUUACAGACAGGGGGAGAGUCAGAUAAACAUGAUCUUCUCCUCUGCCCUGCUACCCUGGUUUUCUUACUCAUCUCUAGUUAGCCCACGGUAUCUCUAUAAACCGGGUUCUGGCCGCACAUUGCUGUUAGAGUGGUAAUUAAGUUCUGUGACCAGUUGCAGUAAGCCAGGGUGACGACUAGAAAGAGCAGGGAACUUGGCUUGAGUAGCAAAUUGGAGCAAGCUGUGCAGGGGCUGGUCCUUCAAGGGGACAGGGGGCCUGCCAAGCGGGUCAAGGCCAGAGACGGCGCAGCUGUGCCCGGCUCGGGAGUGAGGUCCCUUACGACCAAGCAGGGAGAGCCGCCUCUCAGGGGAUCUGCCUCGUCUUGCAGAAGCCAGCCUGCAACCUGUAAGCGAUCACACGGCCCGGGGAGCAGACCCAGGGCCUCCUCUGACCUUACGUGAGAUCCCGGGGCAGGCCACUUCGGUGCUCUGGGUUUGUUCCUCCUCCUCGGCUGGAAGAUGACGCACCUCCAGAAGGCUGGCUUCAUGGUUGUACUGGGUCUUUGCCGUCCCUCAGAGCCCCGUGGUUUGGCUGUUUUUUGCUUGCUUGUUUGUUUUUAAUAUAUAUUUACUUGGCCGCCCUGGGUCUUAGUUGUGGCUGUAGAUCUUCUGUCUUCGCUGUGGUGUGUGCGAUCUGGUUCCCGACCAGGCAGAGAACCCGGCGCCCUGCACUGGGAGCUUGGAGUCUCAGCCCCGGACCAGCAGGGAAGUCCUGGAGCUACGUUUAAACGGUCCUACACUUGGGUCGGUGUUCUGUUCUCACUGGCUUGGAAAAUUCUUGACAAUAUUUGAAUAAAGAGCCCGGCAUUUUCA